CCUACGGGUGGCUGCAGUCGAGAAUCAUUCACAAUGGGGGAAACCCUGAUGGUGCGACGCCGCGUGGGGGAAUGAAGGUCUUCGGAUUGUAAACCCCUGUCAUGUGGGAGCAAAUUAAAAAGAUAGUACCACAAGAGGAAGAGACGGCUAACUCUGUGCCAGCAGCCGCGGUAAUACAGAGGUCUCAAGCGUUGUUCGGAAUCACUGGGCGUAAAGCGUGCGGAGGCUGUUUCGUAAGUCGUGUGUGAAAGGCGCGGGCUCAACCCGCGGACGGCACAUGAUACUGCGAGACUAGAGUAAGGGAGGGGGAACCGGAAUUCUCGGUGUAGCAGUGAAAUGCGUAGAUAUCGAGAGGAACACUCGUGGCGAAGGCGGGUUCCUGGACAUUAACUGACGCUGAGGCAUGAAGGCCAGGGGAGCGAAAGGGAUUAGAUACCCCAGUAGUC
rnacentral:rRNA from 1 species